rnacentral:rRNA from 1 species
GACGUAGGGCGCGAGCGUUGUCCGGAUUUAUUGGGCGUAAAGAGCUCGUAGGCGGCUUGUCGCGUCGUCUGUGAAAUCCCGCGGCUCAACUGCGGGCUGGCAGUCGAUACGGGCAGGCUGGAGUUCGGUAGGGGAGACUGGAAUUCCUGGUGUAGCGGUGAAAUGCGCAGAUAUCAGGAGGAACACCGGUGGCGAAGACGGGUCUCUGGACAGUUCCUGACGCUGAGGCACGAAGGCCAGGGGAGCAAACGGG